AACGAACGCUGGCGGCGUGGAUUAGGCAUGCAAGUCGAACGGGAACGGUUCCUUCGGGGACCUAGUAGAGUGGCGAACGGGUGAGUAACGCGUGGGUAACCUGCCCUCGGGUUUGGGAUAACACUCCCAACGGGGUGCUAAUACCAGAUAACAUCACCUGGGCUACGUGCUCGGGUGAUCAAAGGCGGCCUCUGCUUGCAAGCCGUCGCUUGAGGAUGGGCCCGCGUCUCAUUAGCUUGUUGGUGAGGUAACUGCUCACCAAGGCUCUGAUGGGUAGCUGGUCUGAGAGGAUGGUCAGCCACACUGGGAUUGAGAUACGGCCCAGACUCCUUCGGGAGGCAGCAGUCGAGAGGCUUUGGCAAUGGGGGAAACCCUGACCAAGCGACGCCGCGUGGGCGAUGAAGGCCUUCGGGUUGUAAAGCCCUGUCAUGGGGGAAGAAAGACCGAUAGGUUAAUACCCUAACGGUUAGACGGUACCCCAGGAGGAAGCUCCGGCAAACUCCGUG
rnacentral:rRNA from 1 species